GUGCUUGUUUCUGCAGCACAUGUACUAAAAUUGAAAAGGUACAGAGAUUAGCAUGGCCCCUGCACAAGGAUGAUACAUGAAUUCAUGAAGCUUUCCAAAAAAUU